ACCCCGUCCGGUGCAAGACCAAAUAGGGAAACGUUUGAGGGUUGUCCGCCCAAGUUUUCGGGUAGGUUGCUUGAGGUACACGGCAACGUGUAUCCUAGAUGAAUGAUCGUUGGCCUGUUUGAGGUAACAAUAACAGGCAACAGAAUUCGGCUUAUUAAUUGGUCAGACCG
rnacentral:ncRNA from 2 species